AAAGCGUUUGAGAGAUGGAGUGACACAGUAGGAUAAGCUAACCGUACUGUUGGUUAUGUACGGCUAAGCAUUGAGGCAGUCUAAAUAGGCAAAUCCGUUUAGACAAUGCUAGGAUGUGAUGGGGAAGCCCUUCGGGGCGAAGUAGCUGAUUUCACACUGUCAAGAAAAGCUUCUAUCGAGUUUAAAGGCGCCCGUACCGUAAACCGACACAGGUGGGUGAGGAGAGUAUCCUAAGGCCAGCGAGAGAACUAUUGUUAAGGAACUCGGCAAAAUGACCCCGUAACUUAGGGAGAAGGGGUGCCUGUCUAUGACAGGCCGCAGAGAAUAGGCCCAAGCGACUGUUUACCAAAAACACAGGUUUCUGCUAAGUCGCAAGACGAUGUAUAGGAGCUGACGCCUGCCCGGUGCUGGAAGGUUAAGGGGAUCUGUUAGAGCAAUCGAAGCAGUGAACUUAAGCCCCAGUAAACGGCGGCCGUAACAAUAACGGUCCUAAGGUAGCGAAAUUCCUUGUCGGGUAAGUUCCGACCCGCACGAAAGGCGUAACGAUUUGGGCACUGUCUCAACAAUAGACUCGGUGAAAUUGUAAUCCCGGUGAAGAUGCCGGGUACCUGCGACAGGACGGAAAGACCCCAUGGAGCUUUACUGUAGCUUGACGUUGGGUCUUGGUACUACAUGUACAGGAUAGGUGGGAGACUAUGAAGCAUGGACGCCAGUCUGUGUGGAGUCAUCCUUGGGAUACCACCCUUGUAGUACUGGGAUCCUAACCAUAGGCCUUGAAUCAGGUCUUGGAACACCGUCAGGUGGGCAGUUUGACUGGGGCGGUCGCCUCCUAAAAAGUAACGGAGGCGCUCAAAGGUUUCCUCAGCACGGUCGGAAAUCGUGCGAAGAGUGUAAAGGCAAAAGGAAGCUUGAUUGCAAGACAUACAGGUCGAGCAAGGACGAAAGUCGGACUUAGUGAUCCGGUGGUACCGCAUGGAAGGGCCAUCGCUCAACGGAUAAAAGCUACCCUGGGGAUAACAGGCUUAUCUCCCCCAAGAGUCCACAUCGACGGGGAGGUUUGGCACCUCGAUGUCGGCUCAUCACAUCCUGGGGCUGUAGUAGGUCCCAAGGGUUGGGCUGUUCGCCCAUUAAAGUGGUACGCGAGCUGGGUUCAGAACGUCGUGAGACAGUUCGGUCCCUAUCCGUUGCAGGCGUAGGAAAUUUGAGAAGACCUGUCCUUAGUACGAGAGGACCGGGAUGGACGUACCUCUGGUGUACCAGUUGUUCUGCCAAGGGCAUGGCUGGGUAGCUAUGUACGGAAUGGAUAAGCGCUGAAAGCAUCUAAGCGCGAAGCCAACUUCAAGAUAAGAUUUCCCACCGUAAGGGUAAGACCCCAGGAAGACUACCUGGUUGAUAGGUCGAAGGUGUAAGUGCAGUAAUGUAUUUAGCUUAUCGAUACUAACAGGUCGAGGACUUGACC
rnacentral:rRNA from 1 species